AGUGAACGCUGGCGGUAGGCCUAACACAUGCAAGUCGAACGGCAGCACAGUAAGAGCUUGCUCUUACGGUUGGCGAGUGGCGGACGGGUGAGGCAUACAUCGGAAUCUACUUUUUCUUGGGUGAUAACGUAGGGCAACUUACGCUACUACCGCAUACGACCUACGGGUGAAAUCAGGGGAUCUUCGGACCUUGCGCGAUUGAAUUAGCCGAUGUCGGAUUAGCUAGUUGGCGGGGUAAAGGCCCACCAAGGCGACGAUCCGUAGCUGAUCUGAGAGGAUGAUCAGCCACACUGGAACUGAGACACGGUCCAGACUCCUACGGGAGGCAGCAGUGGGGAAUAUUGGACAAUGGGCGCAAGCCUGAUCCAGCCAUACCGCGUGGGUGAAGAAGGCCUUCGGGUUGUAAAGCCCUGUUGUUGGGAAAGAAAAGAAGCAGGUGAAUACCCCGCUGUUCUGACGGUACCUAAAGAAUAAGCACCGGCUAACUUCGUG
rnacentral:rRNA from 1 species